rnacentral:lncRNA from 1 species
UUCAGUACCAAACUGUUCGAUAUGAUAUCCUCCCCUUAUCUCCUGUGUCCCGGAAUCGGCUAGCCCAGGUGAAGAGGAAGAUCCUGGUGCUGGAUCUGGAUGAGACACUUAUUCACUCCCACCAUGAUGGGGUCCUGAGGCCCACAGUCCGGCCUGGUGGUAAUAGACAAACAUCCUGUCCGGUUUUUUGUACAUAAGAGGCCCCAUGUGGAUUUCUUCCUGGAAGUGGUGAGCCAGUGGUACGAGCUGGUGGUGUUUACAGCAAGCAUGGAGAUCUAUGGCUCUGCUGUGGCAGAUAAACUGGACAAUAGCAGAAGCAUUCUUAAGAGGAGAUAUUACAGACAGCACUGCACUUUGGAGUUGGGCAGCUACAUCAAGGACCUCUCUGUGGUCCACAGUGACCUCUCCAGCAUUGUGAUCCUGGAUAACUCCCCAGGGGCUUACAGGAG